rnacentral:rRNA from 1 species
UACGAAGGGUGCAACCGUUGCUCGGAAUUAUUGGGCGUAAAGCGCACGUAGGCGGCUUGGCAAGUCGGAUGUGAAAUCCCUCGGCUCAACCAAGGAAGUGCAUCCGAAACUGCUGAGCUUGAGUACUUAAGAGGAUCGCGGAAUUCCCGGUGUAGAGGUGAAAUUCGUAGAUAUCGGGAGGAACACCAGUGGCGAAGGCGGCGAUCUGGGAAGAUACUGACGCUGAGGUGCGAAGGCGUGGGGAGCGAACGGG